rnacentral:rRNA from 1 species
GAUGAACGCUGGCGGCGUGCCUAAUACAUGCAAGUCGAGCGAACGGACGAGAAGCUUGCUUUUCUGAUGUUAGCGGCGGACGGGUGAGUAACACGUGGAUAACCUACCUAUAAGACUGGGAUAACUUCGGGAAACCGGAGCUAAUACCGGAUAAUAUUUUGAACCGCAUGGUUCAAAAGUGAAAGACGGUCUUGCCGUCACUUAUAGAUGGAUCCGCGCUGCAUUAGCUAGUUGGUAAGGUAACGGCUACCAAGGCAACGAUGCAUAGCCGACCUGAGAGGGUGAUCGGCCACACUGGAACUGAGACACGGUCCAGACUCCUACGGGAGGCAGCAGUAGGGAAUCUUCCGCAAUGGGCGAAAGCCUGACGGAGCAACGCCGCGUGAGUGAUGAAGGUCUUCGGAUCGUAAAACUCUGUUAUUAGGGAAGAACAUAUGUGUAAGUAACUGUGCACAUCUUGACGGUACCUAAUCAGAAAGCCACGGCUAACUACGUG